rnacentral:rRNA from 1 species
ACGGAGGGUGCAAGCGUUGUUCGGAAUCACUGGGCGUAAAGGGCGUGUAGGCGGCCUGUUAAGUCUGAUGUGAAAUCCCCUCGCUCAACGAGGGAACUGCGUCGGAAACUGGCAGGCUCGAGUACCGGAGAGGAAGGUGGAAUUCCCGGUGUAGCGGUGAAAUGCGUAGAUAUCUGGAGGAACACCCGUGGCGAAGGCGGCUCUCUGGUCCGAUACUGACGCUGAGGCGCGAAAGCUAGGGUAGCAAACAGGA